AGAGUUUGAUCCUGGCUCAGGACGAACGCUGGCGGCGUGCCUAAUACAUGCAAGUCGAACGGUCUUUUCUAUGGAAGCUUGCUUCCACUGAGAAGAUAGUGGCGAACGGGUGAGUAACACGUGGGUAACCUGCCCAUAAGAGGGGGAUAACAUCCGGAAACGGGUGCUAAUACCGCAUAGUUUUCUUGAUCGCAUGAUCGAGAAAGGAAAGACGGCCUUUGUGCUGUCGCUUAUGGAUGGACCCGCGGCGUAUUAGUUAGUUGGUGAGGUAAUGGCUCACCAAGACGAUGAUACGUAGCCGACCUGAGAGGGUGAUCGGCCACAUUGGGACUGAGACACGGCCCAACUCCUACGGGAGGCAGCAGUAGGGAAUCUUCCGCCAUGGACGAAAGUCUGA
rnacentral:rRNA from 1 species